UGUUGUCAUGGGAUGCAGCUACACACAUACAGACACAGGAACACAACACCGAAGAAAUACAUGAAUAUUACAUAGUUUAGUAGUGUGCUUUGGGAGGUUUAGAUGAAGUGCUGUUUACCAGAGAUGCACCAACAGUAUGACUAAUACCUUACUGGAAGAGAGGAAAUUGUUUUUUGUUUUUUUUAUGCUUCAGUCAACAUCCAGUGUUUUUCUUAGCUUUAUUUUUUUUUUUUAAUUUGUUGUAUUUAAAGCUCUUACUGGCUUAAUUUGUGCAGCUGCUUCACUGUAUUGUUUUCAAAUGGUAUCUCAUAUACUAUGCUGCAUUACACUCAACUAUAGGUUCAAGGUCCCUGGUGCUCAGCCUCUCUAAGGAAAAACACCUCAGUCAAUUAGGUCCUUCCCACGCCAGCUCUGCUCACAGGAUUGUAGUAGCUCAGUUCAAAGGAACAGCUGUUGAGACGAACAAUAAAAAUGACUGAAUCUAAUCCAGAAAUCCUAGUGAAUGGUGAACAACAGGAGAAACAACAGAACAUCACUGCUACAGCACAAGAGAUCCUCCCUUCUCUCAGUCAGGAUGAUGAAAGUUUGGAAGACAGCGGCGCUGCAGAAAAGGACACGCAAGCAAAGAUGCAGUCUGUUUUCCAUCAGGAAACAAGCCUUACCAGAGCCGCAAACCUCUCCCCCCAGCUCGCCCCCGGCCGCAGCAGCGUAAGAAGCCGAUUCAGGCAAAAGCUACAACGGGAAACUGAGCCAGUCUGGAUGGAAGACAGAGGAAAUACUGAUCAUUUACGUAGAUGACCUGAUAAGAACCCAGAUUGUAAGCAUUCUGUUACUGGUUGUCCUCUGUUUACCUGCUGCUCUACUGUACUGCUACUUCUUGUACAAAUCUAAAGUAUGCUUGAAAACUGUAGUUGGGAUUUUAAAAUGAAUAAAGCACAGCAUAAGAGCUUGAAAAGAGAGUUCACAUUUACUUCAAUACAACUGUCAGUAUUUGGCAGGCUUUAACCCUUUAAGACCCACCAUUGUGCAAGGACAUAUUUUUACAUUUUUACAUACUGUAGUGCCAUUUUUGGAGUAUUUUUAUUUGCUUUACAUCAAAAUAACCCUGAUAUCCCGAAUUUUAAUAAUAUGUAUUGACUUAUGUCUUAACUACUACAAAAAAUUGCUUAAAAGUGC
ensembl:lncRNA